rnacentral:rRNA from 1 species
CGCGUGGGAACGUACCCAGAUCUACGGAAUAGCCUCGGGAAACUGAGAGUAAUACCGUAUACGCCCUUUCGGGAAGGAUUAUCGAUUUGGAUCGGCCCGCGUUAGAUUAGAUAGUUGGUGAGGUAACGGCUCACCAAGUCUACGAUCUAUAGCUGGUUUUAGUAGGAUGAUCAGCAACACUGGGACUGAGACACGGCCCAGACUCCUACGGGAGGCAGCAGUGGGGAAUCUUGGACAAUGGGCGCAAGCCUGAUCCAGCCAUGCCGCGUGAGUGAUGAAGGCCUUAGGGUCGUAAAGCUC